UACGAAGGGUGCAAGCGUUACUCGGAAUUACUGGGCGUAAAGCGUGCGUAGGCGGUUUGUUAAGUCUGUCGUGAAAGCCCUGGGCUCAACCUGGGAACUGCGAUGGAAACUGGCUGACUAGAAUGUGGCAGAGGGUAGCGGAAUUCCUGGUGUAGCAGUGAAAUGCGUAGAUAUCAGGAGGAACAUCCAUGGCGAAGGCAGCUACCUGGGCCUGUACUGACGCUCAUGCACGAAAGCGUGGGGAGCAAACAGG
rnacentral:rRNA from 1 species